GAUGAAGAACGUAGCGAAAUGCGAUACGUAAUGUGAAUUGCAGAAUUCAGUGAAUCAUCGAAUCUUUGAACGCAUAUUGCGCUCUCUGGUAUUCCGGAGAGCAUGCUUGUUUGAGUAUCAGUAAACACCUCAACUUCCAUAUCUUUUUUGAAAUGGGAGUUGGACUUGAGUGAUCCCAACGCUUUUCCUCACCGAAAAGUGGCGGGUUACUUGAAAUGCAGGUGCAGCUGGACUUUUCUCUGAGCUAAAAGCAUAUCUAUUUAGUCUGCCUAAAAAACAGAUUAUUACCUUUGCUGCAGCUAACAUAAAGGAGAUUAGUUCUUGUGCUGACUGAUGCAGGAUUCACAAAGACAGGCUUCGGCCGACUUUGUAAACUCGAUCUCAAAUCAAGUAAGACUACCCGCUGAACUUAAGCAUAUCAAUAAGCGGAGGA
rnacentral:misc_RNA from 1 species